rnacentral:rRNA from 1 species
CCUACGGGGGGCAGCAGUGAGGAAUAUUGGUCAAUGGGCGGAAGCCUGAACCAGCCAAGUCGCGUGAGGGAAUAAGGCCCUACGGGUCGUAAACCUCUUUUGCCGGGGAGCAAGGGCCGGGACGCGUCCCGGCCCGGAGAGUACCCGGAGAAAAAGCAUCGGCUAACUCCGUGCCAGCAGCCGCGGUAAUACGGAGGAUGCGAGCGUUAUCCGGAUUUAUUGGGUUUAAAGGGUGCGUAGGCGGGCUUUUAAGUCAGCGGUAAAAAUUCGGGGCUAAACCCCGUCCGGCCGUUGACACUGGGGGC